rnacentral:lncRNA from 1 species
CACAUUAUUGGACUGUUGACAGAGAAGGUCGUGUUUGGCGGAAUUGUCAAGUGUCUACUUAAUUGAAUUGUCCCGAGAGUUGCAGGGAGGAUUUUCUAGCUGCAGAACGGACAUCAUGAGUUCUUAGUAUGGUGAUAACUAUUCAGCAGAUCUGCAGAUGAUUGACAGGCCGAGUAUAUAACUACUUAAUCAUACAUCAACACCUCUAUAAAAUACACGGCAACAACCCUCGGUGUCUACUAAAAAGAUUGUAACAAUAUAGAAAAAAAGCUCAUGUAUCACAUUUGCAAAUUUUUUUAAAGAACACAGUCGUAAGGUAUUAAAUUGAAAAAGAUGGAUGAGCAAGAUCACAGAAGCCAACCUCGUUGUCACAUAUCAGCAAGGGCUUCCACAGUUGUAAUGAAAAUCCACUCACCAAAAACACGAUUUCAGAUUCUGCCGAUGAUAAGUAGGGAAGACUGAGCACAUUGCACGACCUUUGUAAAAGAUAAGAUAAUAGGGACGGGCAAUUGUUAACACAUAUGAAGACUUCAGUUGCAGCCAAAUGAUAUAACAAUACUUAAUUUUACGAAAAGAUAUUAUGAUCUAAACACG